rnacentral:lncRNA from 1 species
GGUGAAGCAAACAACCUUACAUGAUAUGCACUGUGCACUGGAGAGGCAGAGCAUCCUGCCUUCCACAGCCGUGCACACCAGUCCCUGUGCACAAGUGGCCACCCACCCAGCGAAUCGACGUGGUGUGCUUAUCAAAAUCUGUGUGUCUGUGGGCCAGAGCCAAAUCCAGGAUAUUGACGGAUGUCCUUACUGGUAAGGCUGUCUGGGACUCUCAGUGAAAAGACCGGCCAUGUGUGCCUCCAGAUGGUACUAGAUCCAGGUGCUAGAACAAGAUGAGCAAGUGAAUCUCUCAUACUUCAGAUCCUUCAAGGAUCUUGAAAAGAGCGCUGGAAUCAAAGGCGAACGCCACCACUGCCCGGCCUUGUUUUGUUUUUAAAGACAGUUUUCGGCACACAGAGAGGCUGUGAGUUAGGACGGGGGUUUCUUGCCGUUGCCACCAUUCUCAUUGACACGUUAUGCUGCACACAGCAGAGCCCCAUCCUGAAUGCCCAGCGGUGCCCACAGCCAGGAGGAGCAUUCGAUGUGUGAUGACUCAUCUCGUGCAUCAGACGCUCUCUAAAGUUCCCACAGAUUAUACCAUGGCUUAGUGAGUGCGAUUCUAAGACAGUUCCAAAAGACUUUUCAAUCCGUGGGAGUUUCAAAGUGGAUUCUCAGACAAACAUGGGGAGGACUGAGGCAGGCUUGGACACGCACAGAAUCAGACAACGAUGGGCUGAGGAAGUGGCUCAGCGGUUAAGAGCACUGUCUGCUCUUCCAAAGGUCCGGAGUUCAAAUCCCUGCAACCACAUGGUGGCUCACAACCAACUGUAAUGAGAUCUGGCGCCCUCUUCUGGAGUGUCUGAAGACAGAUACAGUGUACUUACAUAUAGUAAAUAAAUAAAUCUUAAAAAAAAAAAAAA